rnacentral:rRNA from 1 species
CCUACGGGUGGCAGCAGUGAGGAAUAUUGGUCAAUGGACGCAAGUCUGAACCAGCCAUGCCGCGUGCAGGAAGACGGCUCUAUGAGUUGUAAACUGCUUUUGUACGAGGGUAAACGCAGAUACGCGUAUCUGUCUGAAAGUAUCGUACGAAUAAGGAUCGGCUAACUCCGUGCCAGCAGCCGCGGUAAUACGGAGGAUUCAAGCGUUAUCCGGAUUUAUUGGGUUUAAAGGGUGCGUAGGCGGUCUGAUAAGUUAGAGGUGAAAUCCCGAGGCUCAACUUCGGAAUUGCCUUUGAUACUGUUCGGCGAGAGAGUAGUUGCGGUAGGCGGAAUGUAUGGUGUAGCGGUGAAAUGCUUAGAGAUCAUACAGAACACCGAUUGCGAAGGCAGCUUACCAAGCUACUUCUGACGUUGAGGCACGAAAGCGUGGGGAGCAAACAGGAUUAGAUACCCGAGUAGUC